GAAACAAAGUAGGGUUCCAAACACUUUUGGCUUUUUCCCAGCAACCACCACGUCUCUUUCCCUCUUUAUGAACAAAAAAUAGCCUCCUCUCUCCUAAAUAAAAACCUGUAGCUCCAUUUUGGUAAAAGUUUGCAAAAUCUUCCUCUCUCAUCUCUGUCACAAGAUUUGGUCAAGCUAAAAAAGCCAAAAAAAAACUUUUGAAGAAAUUGGCGUAUUCAGAGAUUGAUAUUUCUUUCCAAACGGCUCUUUUGGAGCCAAAAAUAUCUACCCUCUUUGUUUGUUCAAAUUUCGAAUCUGAAAACCCUAUAUUUUCCCUAUAAAUAGUCUCUUUAAGGUUCCAGCCGAAGGGGGGCUAAAAAAAAAAAAAACAAAGGUUUUGGAACCAAAAAAAUACUCUCUCAUUUAAGUUGUUGAUUUUUUUUUCUACUAUCUCUCAAAGUAACUUUAGUAUUUUCCUCAAUCGAUCUCUGUCCGUUUUGAUUUCGUUCGAAGGCGAAUAGAUCUAAGACCUCAAAGCCCCGUUCACUACUCCCGUGGAAGGUUUAUUUGGUCUGCUAUUUGGACUUUCUUAUGUCGGAUUCUAGUUUCAGUUCUAAGAGCUUGUACUAGUGUAUGAGUAAUAUUCUUUAAGAAGAUUACUCCAUCUCUUGUAAUCAUACAACUUCCAUUAUUAUGUAACAUAAAGUCUAAUCCUAUGACAAAAUCUACAUUUAUAUUCAAGUCUCUUACCCA